rnacentral:lncRNA from 1 species
GCCUUUGCAGCCUCCAUACUUAGCGAUGGCCUCCUGGACCCACUUUCUCUCUCAAACUGUCUUUUCUCAUUCCUUUGACUCUGCUGGACUUCGUCAUCCCCACGACCCGGUGUUGAGUCUGAUCACCCAACAUCAUCAGGAUAGAAGCUUCCCUCUCCUCCUCCAGACCUUGUGGUGUGCACGUGGGAGUCCAGGGACUAGAAUACUCAUUUUCAAAGCCUGACAUUGGACCCGGGAGACAGGGAAAAACCAUCCUCAGGAAGUCACAGUUCUCUGUUGAGAGAGUUUCCUGAAAACAAACAUUGGAUUAACAAAAGAGACAAAUGGAAGUUUAUUAAUGCAUGCUGUACCCAUCAUGCAGGAGAGGCCUCAGUUCAAAAGCAUUUCUCUCCCAAGGCAGUGACUUAGGGGACUUGCUUAAAUAGUAUUUCAACAAAGAACCAUCAAUCCGAUAUAGUAGAAAGACAAAGGAGAGAGCAGUUUCAGUCUUUCAAAAGGUAGGAAAAUGUAGGAAGAUAGUAAAAUGUGUCUGCAAUUUUUUCUGGUGCCUCCUGAAAACUUCUCUGGUGACUUCUCUGGGCUGAUAAGCAAGUUCUGUCUUAAGGAAGGAUUGAUGGCCUGCUAUCAGGCAAGCAGAGCCUGAGACAGAGUGUUCCCCUGUGUUUUCAGUGUUUGUAAUUCAACAGUGCUCACUAUUUUGGAGAGAAAUAUUUUGGUUUCCUUCAAUCAAAAUCUGAGAGUUCCUAAUGUACAAAUACUGUGCCUAAUUCACUCUUUUAUCUUCCCAAGGAUCUCCAUAUAGCAGGGGGCUAAUUUAGUGUUUGUUGAAUUGAAUUUAUUUAAGGUAGGCUUUCUUCUCUCCUUACAAUUUCACAUCAUGACUUUUACUGUUUUAUUUGUUGUGUGUCUGCAUUAGACCACCACUUACUGAUUUUUGCACUACUUAAUGGAAGCAGGACAGUAAAAUUGCCUAUGUGACUCUGAGCCUGAAUCAGAUAAAUAGUAACAUUUUGGAAAGUUCCAGGAAAGGGUAGGAAGCAGAAGAAAUGUGCUGUCAGGGAUUUUUCUGUCUACUAGGGGAUUGGUGCAGCAGAAAAGAGCACAGGUAUAGAAGUAAGAUGGGCUUGUUUUCAAACUUCUGCCAUUUCCUAGGAGGAAUAUGUCAUCUUAACAAGGCUUACCCUUAGGAAUGUUGGGAAGAUGAAAUAAAAUGUUACACAUAAAGCAUCCAGGAUAAUGCCAAACGUACAAAUGGUAGCUAUUAAAAUUUGAACCAGAAAGAUUAUGGUAUUACAAAAUAAGAGAUUUCUUUUUAGGUCACAUUGCUUGCUUAGAAAUGACUCACCCUGUCAAAAUAGGUUUCAAUUGUCCCCUUUCACUUCAGUGACAUGUGAAGAAAGCUGAUCCCAUCCAGAGAACUCAACCACCAUGGAGAAGACAGCUGAGUACUCCACCAUUACACAGAGCAACUCCCUGCCACUCUUAGGGUUGGUAAGCUAUGCCAGAGCUUACAUUGCUGAUUAACAUGAUGUUAGAAGCAAGUAGCAUCCCUUAGAAAUCAAUCAGUAAAGAUAAAAUCUUGAGAAAUUCCUCUGAUAAAAGACAAAGAGAUAUACAUUGGCUUGUAAAAUAGAAUUCAACUGUAAAAGUAGCAUACAAAAAAAAGAUACAGAUUAACAAAUUUUUUAAAAGGCAGAUAAAAAUUCACAAGUCAAGUGCAAAUGAAGGAAAUCUCAAAAUACAAUUAAAUGUGAAAGACAUCACCCUUCCAGGAGGUGAAACUUAAUGAUUACUACCCUAAAUCUUUAAAUAUGGACUGUUCUUAAUGAUUUGCUCCCAAAGAAUCGAAUAUGAAGGAAGAUUUAAAAAAGGAGGGAGAGGAAGGGGAAGAAAUUUUAUAGUGGAGAAAACUAUCCAACACUAUCUUGCCCAGGUAUGAAGGAUAACAUCACCAAUAAUAAGUCAUGUCUCCAGUCUAACCAUGAGAAGAACGUCAGACAAACCUUUCUCUCUACUAAAUAACUGAUCACUGUUCCUUAAAACUUUCAAGACCACACACACACACACACACACACACACACACACACACACACACAUAUAUAUGUAGAGAGAGAGAGAGAGAGAGAUCCCAGAAAAUGAAACAAAAAGAACCUUGAAAAAAGAUUAGACGAAUUGCUCACUAGAGUAACCAGUUUAGAGAAGAACAUAAAUGAACUGAUGGAGCUGAAAAACACAGCAUGAGAACUUCGUGAAGCAUACACAAGUAUCAACAGCUGAAUCAAUUAAGCAGAAGAAAGGAUAUCAGAGACUGAAGAUCAACUCAAAGAAAUACAGUGAGAAGACAAGGUUAUAGAAAAAAAGAGUGAAAAGAAACAAUGACUCUGAGAAACAUAGGACUAUGUGAAAAGACAAAAUCUAUGUUUGAUUGGUGUACCUGAAAGUAAUGGAGAGAAUGGAGCCAAGUUGGAAAAUACUCUUCAGGAUAAUAUCCAGGAGAACUUCCCCAACCUAGCAAGGCAAGCCAACAUUCAAAUUCAGAAAAUACGGAGAACACCACAAAGAUACUCCUUGAGAAGAGCAACCCCAAGACACAUAAUCAUCAGAUUUACCAAGGUUGAAAUGAAGAAAAAAAUGUUAAGGGCAGCCAGAGAGAAAGGUCAAGUUACCCACAAAGGGAAGCCCAUCAGACUAAUAGCAGAUCUCUCAGCAGAAACCCUACAAGCCAGAAGAGAGAGGGGGCCAAUAUUCAACAUUCUUAAAGAAAAACUUUUUGGACCAGUCACAGUGGCUCAUGCCUGUAAUCCCAGCACUUUGGGAGGCUGAGGUGGGCAGAUCAUGAGGUCAGGAGUUUGAGACCAGCCUAACCAACAUGGUGAAACCCUGUCUCUACUAAAAAUACAAAAAUUAGCCGGGCAUGGUGGCGCACACCUGUAAUCCCAGCUACUCAGGAGGCUGAGGCAGAAGAAUCGCUUGAACCCAGGAGGCGGAUUUUGCGG